rnacentral:rRNA from 1 species
AUACGGAGGAUCCGAGCGUUAUCCGGAUUUAUUGGGUUUAAAGGGUGCGCAGGCGGCCAUUUAAGUCAGCGGUUAAAUCGUGGGGCUCAACCCCAUUCUGCCGUUGAUACUGGGUGGCUUGAUUGCGGUCGAGGUUGGCGGACUUCGUUGUGUAGCGGUGAAAUGCAUAGAUAUGACGAAGAACACCGAUUGCGUAGGCAGCUGACCAGAUCGCAAAUGACGCUCAUGCACGAAAGUGCGGGGAUCGAACAGGAUUAGAUACCCUGGUAGUCCGCACAGUAAACGAUGAAUACUUGUUUUCGGCGAUAUAAUGUCGGAGGCAAAGCGAAAGCGAUAAGUAUUCCACCUGGGGGGUACGCCGGCAACGGUGAAACUCAAAUGAAUUGACGGGG